ACUCACCUGCCGAAUCAA
rnacentral:snRNA from 1 species